CCUGAGUGGCAGGAAGAAAGGGGCUAGUUGUGAAUUCAAACUAUAUUCUGACCUUCCAAGUAACCCUGAGUGUGAAAGCCAGUAAACAAAUCUACCCACUUUGCCUCAGGGUCACUUAAAACGUGUCUUGCCAGGAAUCUGACAUAGUUGCUAAUUUAGUUUCUGACUCCCUUCUCCCUGAACCAGUGAAGUCUGAGUAGAAGAGACCUGAGUCCCAGAUGCCAAUGCUCUCCUGGCCUUCACCCGGUGAGGGGUACUUUGGUAUGCUUGGCAGAAAACUACUCCAUUCUGUCAAAGUUGGGUAUUGCCAAAUGUCCAGGUCAGAUUGCUCAAAUGUCUAGGCAUGGUACAGGUCCCAGUCUGGGGCCUGGGCCAGGGCUGCAGGCACGUGCAGGUUUUCUGGUAAUGGCUGAAGAUAGGUCAGUGAUCUCUGAUUGCUCUGGAGAAGAUGAGUGCACAUAGCUUCACUAAGUCAGGCCAGGAAGCACUUCUUGGGCAAGGGUGAGUGAAUUAGGAAUGGCAUGGAGCUGUAGGUCAUAUUCGAUAAAUGACGAACAAUUCAAGGUGCGGAGGCACAGCGGUUAUGCAGGAGAAGCGGGAGAUGAGAUUGUUUAUGCAUUCACUCAACAUUUAUUGAAUAUUUACUGUGUGCCAGGUCCUAUGCUGGGCACUGGGUGUACAACAAACAAAAGUGGUCCUUGCCCUUAAUGGAAUGGACAGUCUAUCAGGGAGUCAGAUAGCAAGCAAACAGCUGGCGUCCAAGUUUGAAGCACGUUCUAGUAAGGGUCUUUAUCAUGUAGGUGUUAGGAACAGAACUUCAGAGAGCUAACUCAAGCGGCCAGCUGUACAGUGGCUUAAGGGAGGGAGGGGCCAGCAGCAGGACGAAGAGUUAGAAAGCUACUGAAAAAUAGCGAGGAGGUCCUGAAUUAGACCAGUGGCUGCAAGGAAGAGUGGGAGGGUCAGACCCUCCGAAGCUUUUGCUGACAGGUUCAGGUGACUGACUGGAUGUGAUCCUGAAGUUUUAGCACGGACAACCAGGGGUAGCCUUACCCUCUGCUGGAGAAGCAAAGAGCUCAGUGUGGAAGAACAUUAAGUCCUGAAUCUUGCUCAUGGUGAAAAGCAAGGUAAGGGAUCAGGGAGAAGCAGUUUGAAUGACAGUCCCUGCUGGGAGGGAUGGGCAGGAGUUCUGCUUCCCCACAGGGGAUUGUGCAGACUGAGAGUUUGCUCUUGACCUCUCAGGCUCUAUGUGUGUUGAGGGACAGGUUGAGUUCACGUGUGUGCGGCGGUAGAGAAAUGGGACUGGAGGCUGCCAGCCUGAAAACCUGCUGCAGUGCUGCCGUUUUCAUGCCUCGGUGCUCUUAGGCUGCCACUGCUGCCGCCGUCACGUUGCUUCCUGUGACGGGAAAUGUUGCAGCCUCUGCCCUGGGCACCAGUCAUGCUGGGAACUGAGCACGAUUGCUUUUCUUGGGUAGCAUCGGUCAAAGGGAAGGAAAAGAAGCGGCGGGAGGCCUGAGAGCAGCUCAGGAGACGCAGCAUCUGUUGAACCCUAUUCUCCAGUCAAUUUGUGGCCCCCCACCCUCUGGGGUUCAUCUAAUCAGAGAGCACAAAUACUCAGAGCGACAGGCUCGCCUCUCCCCAUCCUCUGCCACAGGGGACAGGGUAUUCAUCAGCGUGGCUUGUAGGAGGGCCACCAGAAAAUCGAAUAGCUGUGGAGUGUCAUGCAUUUAACAACUCCCCCCGUACUGUAGUUGCUCUGGGCAUUUUUUUCCCCAUCCUAAGAGCCCCACCUGCUCCAACACCCUCUACCAACAAAAUUGCAAUUGACCUUAUUCAAACACCUCAUUGCUACCUGAGGGGGCCAACACAAAAAUAAUCACAUCUGCAGCUUUCUAGAAGGCGGCUCAUAAUCUGAGCCUAGUGCCUCAGGCCAGGAAAGGGUGGGGGACAUGUGAGUGUGCAGGGUGUGGGCAUAAGCAAGGCGGAAGAUCUUUCUAAUACCAACAUGUAGCCAUAAGGAGCUAUUAGAGGGCUCAAGGGGAGGGGGAAAGAGAACAAAGCCCUCAUAUAUUUUCUCUGAUCCCAACAAAAACAAAGGCAGGGUUCUCGGUCGGUGGCAGCCUUGGUCCUCCCCACACUGAGUCCUCCCCCGCUGGCCUGAAGCAUUGUUCCUUCACUCAGCCGGGACGCAGAGCACUACGCUGAUGAGCUGAUUUUUAUGCUUCUCUUCCUCCAGCCAAAAGCAGGUGGCAUCCGUUCCAGCUGAACUGUCGCUACUUUUUAAAUGGAUGUGACAAUAAAAAAAGAGAAAGAAAAAGAAAGGAAGAAAGAAAAAAAGAGAGAAAACCACCCUAUUGCCCAGUGACAACACUUCCAGAUAAUCAGGGGAGGGCUGAAGUGGGAAGGGGGAGAAGGGGGUUGAAUAAGGAAAUCAAUUUCAGCCUGAAAGCUCUGAAAGGAGAGGGGACGUGUGAAUGGCUUUUUAAGUGGCAUCAUUAAACCUGGGCAGAAAGGUCGAUUGGGCAGAGCAAACCGCAUAAAUACAAACAGAUGACAUUUAUGUCUGGCAGAAUUGGUUUUUGUUUAGUUGUUUUGGUUUUUUUUUAAUCACUGAGGUAGAAGACUCAUAAGACUUCUUUCUUUUGCCACCAAGAAUCAAAUCUAUGGAAAGGAAUGUCCAGAGAAAUAAUAUCCACAGGCAUCUUUCCCAUAUUACAGGACAGAAUCCAACAAUAUCUUGUUUUUUUCCCCCUCUUUUGGUGAAGGGGAGGAAUAUCUUCAGGGAGUGGGAGAGAAAGGAGUUAGUCCCAGCUUUGGAAACCCCUCAGCUACAAAAUGAGCCAAUUCCAAGACCUUGAAUCUGAAGAUGAAGAGACACAACCACAGAGACCCAAUACAUAUACUGAUAUACCACGAAGGAUUCACAUAAAAAUGCACAUACAAGUAUAACUAUUUGCACAUACACACACUUGUUUUAACAAACAAGAGAAAAUGCCCUGCAGUAGUAAGCACCACCAGAGGCUACAGCGGUUCUUGGAGCUGAUUUCUACAAUUUCCAUAUCCUGCUGGGAAUUUCAAGGUCAAGUGCCCCCGGUGGACACUUAGGAGAAACAGCUACAGACCAGGAAUGUAAUAAAGGGUAAAGGCUGUUGAAUUUAAAACCUCUCAGCCUGUGAGAAAGCCACGUUUGGUCUGGAUGAAGGCAGAAGUCACUGCUCCUUGAAGGUAAGAAGAAUUGAUCCUGUCUUAUGAGCAAGAUUAAUUCUGGAAUUCACUCCACAGCAUCUAACUAAGAGUGCGAAAACUCUUAUGUGAAAAUCUUAUUUCUAAAAUGGGAAAAACUGUCAAAAUGCUUCCCUCUCACCAGAAGAGGGCACUCUGAUAUCCCACAACAGAGCAGAAUGGGGAUGGUUGGAGGCUACAUUAAGAUCUCCUCCCCACUAGAACCCCUGAAGCUGCUUUAACUGCAGGGUAAUGCUGUGUCAGGGUCAGGUAAAAGGGAAACAAACAAGGGUAGCUGUACUUGGUCUGCUGGGAGAGUUCUUGGCAGAGGCAGAAAGAGACAGGCUGCAUGGCAUAAGCCUAUUCACCUGAUAGCUGUCCCUUCAAAGAAGGCCUUUAGCUAUUUAACAUGAUAUUCAUUUAUUUCCCACUGGAGGGAAAGGAAUAGAGUACAGAGACCUGUUGAAAGUGUGAUAUUGAGGAUGCAGCAUGGAAGGCAAAAGACCCUAGUUCAAGGUCUACGACUGUGACCUCAGGCAAGUCAUUUAUCCUCUUUGAGUCUUAAAUUUCCUCUUCACAGGGUUCUGGUGAGAAUUAAAAUGACACAAUGUAUGUGAGCACAAAUGAAAAGCAGCUAAACAAAUCUAAGAUAGGACUUAAAAAGCAUUUUAUCAGCUUCCUCACACUCACAACCAAAAAGUAAAGCUGUCUAUAGGAAGAGUGAGUGCAGGAGACAGAGGUAAGCACUUUGUGUCUCAAAGGCAUGUGAGUGGUGAGUGUAAUGCUGGCUUCGGAGGGAAGGAAAAAAAGAAGAAAGAAAAAAAAAACCCACAAGGAACCCAAUAAAGUAUGUGGCUUCCCAGGGAUAGGAUGGGGCAACCAACCUCAUCUCUCACGAGGUCAACUUUAGCACUCCUGGAAAAACACCAGUCAGGACUCUGGCCUUUUCUUGUGAUGGUGUUAUAGCUGGGGACAGAGCCAAUCCAGGAACUCUCCCACCCUUCCCAGCUCUAGAGCACAAGUCUUUCAGCAGCGUUUGCUCUUGCCAGUACCCAAGACCCUCUAAUUCUUUAUCCUCUUACCUGAGUACUGCUGUGGCAUCUGUGGUGGACUGCAGGGAGAGGGAGACUGAGGCAUCUGGUACUGCUCAGAGCCGGGAGGCUGCAGAAACCCUACAGAAGGGCUGGGGGAUGAAGAGAGUAGGGUUAAAGUGGCGGAGGGAGGAACACAGCUCCUGGCAACCAGCUGCUGCUUCCCAGGCCUCCCCUGUGGGAAGCAGAGGCAGCUUCCAGCCAUUCCCAGACCAAUUUGCCAUGCAAUUUCUAAAAUCACUCAUCAGUUCAAAGUUAAUUAUAUAUAUUUGUACUUGAUCAUCUUUCAAUUAGGAAGCUGCUAAUCAGUGCUACAGAUGGAAUGUUAGUGACACAUGCUCUUCCCAACAGUGUGGAAACAUCAGACAUAUCCACGUGCACACAUGCGCACGCGCGCGCACACACACACACACACAUUCUGAGAAACACGAAGUACCAAAAACAGACACACAGUGCUAGAGAGGGAUGGGCAAAAAAGAACUAAGGAGGUGUGUGAUUUAGGAUGUUUACAUAACAGCAGUUACCUAAAGAGAAGUGGGGAAAAACCCUCACAAACUCAAGAUAAGGUGGAGACAUAUAUACAAAAAGUAGUGAACAUAUACACUGAGAGAAAUA